rnacentral:rRNA from 1 species
AUUGAACGCUAGCGGGAUGCUUUACACAUGCAAGUCGAACGGCAGCGCGGACUUCGGUCUGGCGGCGAGUGGCGAACGGGUGAGUAAUGUAUCGGAACGUGCCCAGUAGCGGGGGAUAACUACGCGAAAGCGUAGCUAAUACCGCAUACGCCCUACGGGGGAAAGCAGGGGUUCGUAAGACCUUGCACUAUUGGAGCGGCCGAUAUCGGAUUAGCUAGUUGGUGAGGUAACGGCUCACCAAGGCGACGAUCCGUAGCUGGUUUGAGAGGACGACCAGCCACACUGGGACUGAGACACGGCCCAGACUCCUACGGGAGGCAGCAGUGGGGAAUUUUGGACAAUGGGGGCAACCCUGAUCCAGCCAGCCCGCGUGUGCGAUGAAGGCCUUCGGGUUGUAAAGCACUUUUGGCAGGAAAGAAACGUCGCGGGCUAAUACCCCGUGGAACUGACGGUACCUGCAGAAUAAGCACCGGCUAACUACGUG